UGGAGGCCCACAGGGCCCUGCUGUGUGUAUCAGUCUCAGCAAGCAGUCCGGUGCAUUUGGGAGUCUGGGUUCAGUUCAGUUCAGUCGCUUAGUCGAGUCCGACUCUUGGCAGAAUUCUAACCAGUGGAUGAAGAUCUAUGGCCAGGAGCUGAGCCUAGCAGAAGUAUUGCAGCCCUAAUCAGGAUAACCUGCAAGAAUUAAGAGGUGGCAGAAUCCAUGCUGAGAGUGGUGGUCUCUCUGGGCAGAAGAAGCAGGAAUUAGAGUUUGGGCCUGCUAAAGUGGUUGGAAUUUGUGAGCUGGUUGCCAGAGAGACUGGAGUCAUGGAGAGGAAGCCCCAGAAGGUACCAUGUUGUCAUAAUAAUUCCUAGCAUGUACCAGGCAAUGGAUUUUCACUUUAAUCUAAUUUUUACAAUAAGCUUAUGAACAAGGCUAAUUA
rnacentral:lncRNA from 1 species